GACGAACGCUGGCGGCGUGCCUAAUACAUGCAAGUAGAACGCUGAAGAGAGGAGCUUACUCUUCUUGGAUGAGUUGCGAACGGGUGAGUAACGCGUAGGUAACCUGCCUUGUAGCGGGGGAUAACUAUUGGAAACGAUAGCUAAUACCGCAUAACAAUGGAUGACACAUGUCAUUUAUUUGAAAGGGGCAAUUUCUCCACUACAAGAUGGACCUGCGUUGUAUUAGCUAGUAGGUGAGGUAAUGGCUCACCUAGGCGACGAUACAUAGCCGACCUGAGAGGGUGAUCGGCCACACUGGGACUGAGACACGGCCCAGACUCCUACGGGAGGCAGCAGUAGGGAAUCUUCGGCAAUGGGGGCAACCCUGACCGAGCAACGCCGCGUGAGUGAAGAAGGUUUUCGGAUCGUAAAGCUCUGUUGUAAGUCAAGAACGGGUGUGAGAGUGGAAAGUUCACACUGUGACGGUAGCUGACCAGAAAGGGACGGCUAACUACGUG
rnacentral:rRNA from 1 species